rnacentral:rRNA from 1 species
UACGUAGGGUGCGAGCGUUAAUCGGAAUUACUGGGCGUAAAGCGUGCGCAGGCGGUUUUGUAAGCCAGAUGUGAAAUCCCCCGGGCUUAACCUGGGAAUGGCAUUUGGGACUGCAAGGCUUGAGUGCGGCAGAGGAGACGUGGAAUUCCUGGUGUAGCAGUGAAAUGCGUAGAUAUCAGGAGGAACACCGGUGGCGAAGGCGGGUCUCCUGGGCCGUAAAGCUGGACGCUGGAGGG